rnacentral:rRNA from 1 species
AUUGAACGCUGGCGGCAGGCCUAACACAUGCAAGUCGAACGAGUGGCGGACGGGUGAGUAAUGUCUGGGAAACUGCCUGAUGGAGGGGGAUAACUACUGGAAACGGUAGCUAAUACCGCAUACCCUCAGAUGUGCCCCGAUGGGAUUAGCUAGUUGGGGGGGUAAAGGCUCACCCAGGCGACUAUCCCUAGCUGGGUUGUGGGGAUGACCAGCCACACUGGAACUGAGACACGGUCCAGACUCCUACGGGAGGCAGCAGUGGGGAAUAUUGCACAAUGGUCGCAAGCCUGAUCCAGCCAUGCCGCGUGUAUGAAGAAGGUCUUCGGGUUGUAAAGCACUUUCAGUUGGGAGGCGUUACCAACAGAAUAAGCACCGGCUAACUUCGUGCCAGCCGCCGCGGUAAUUC